GCCCGCGCGGUCUCGGCCCGCAGAGCCCGCGCCCGGGACUCGCCGCCACCUGCGAGCAGCAAGAUUGUCCGCGGCCCUUUUCAGAUGAUUUCUAGUUGUCCACUUCCUCUCUCGUGCAAUCUGGCAAAAUUAAGAAUUGCUGAGGGUGUUAUGGGUGGCAGGUAAUUUUAUAGUCAGUCCACAGACUGAGGAAUAUGAGGACAUAAGAAUAACCCACAAAGAAGAAUGAAUAUCACCACUGGACUUGAAUCUGGGAACCAUAAAUAAUCAUAAGACUUUGGAUUGUCUCCUAAGCCUGUCUUCUGAAUCCAUUAAUGAACAUUCUUCCUUAGAAGAUACUUACACAAUUCAGUGAUUACUACCACUCCUUACAAUUUAAAAUUUUAUGGUUAGUGCACUUGAAAGAUUAAAUAAUACCUG